CAGUCAGUGGGCUGGACUGAGCCCCACAGGCCAUUGUUUGAUGAAAAUUACUGUGCUAGAUUCUAUGUUUUUGAGGACAGUUUAUUUUCCUGGAAACUACUUCCAUCAAUUAAUACUUUCCUUCAGCCUGAAGAACUUUUUCCAGCAUCCUUAAAAUGUUGAUGACCAUUAAUUCUCUCAGCUUUUGUUUGACUGGCAUUGUCUUCGCAUCUCCAUCAUUUGUGAAGGAUAUUUUCACUGAGUACAGAAUUUCAGGUCCUUGAACUUUAAAUGGCUUUAUCAGUUAAUUACAAUAUCUGG
rnacentral:lncRNA from 10 species